GAAUAAUUCCUCCCACCACUUUUAUUCUGCUGUAAUUGAUGGCAUUAGCUCUAGAAAAGGGAUGGUAGGCUGAGAAUAUUUCAUUGUAAGAUGCACCAUUCUUAGCUACAGUGAAGCGAAUUAUGCACUGCCUCUAGUGCCUUAUUUGCGGGAAGCUGUAUAAGAAAGCAGAAAUCCUGGGCCAAACAGUUUUCUCUUUUACUAAGCUGUGGUGUUUAACUGAGGUAAAGUCUUUGUUAGUAUCAAAACUAAAUUUUGAAGAUUCAUGUUAGUUAAGUAGUUCCAGAGCUAGCUUGACCUGCAUUGUUUUCCUUGUACAUAUUACAGUACUGAUUUUCUCUUAUACACUGUUCUAGAACUUAAAGUCAAAAUUUAGCUCGCAUCUCAUUGGGUGAAAUACUAAUUCUACUCCCCUAAUUCUGAAAACGUUCUAAUAUCGGCUCACUGAUAAGGUAGACCAGGAUACCCUGCUGCCAUCCAAACAACACACAGAUACUUCCCAACACACAGACACUCCCUUCCCCCUACAAGUCCCCAACCUUCUGCAAUUAAGGCUUAUCAUCUCUGCUUGCUUGGUCUUGCUUUUUUCAGAUGUCAGCUAGUGACAUCUCUUUUUUUUUCUGUCCCAUCCCUGCCAUUAAGGAAUCAAAUUAUGAACUAGUUACAAAGUUGCUAACUCACCAGCUCUUAUUUUAGACUUAACGAUGGAGGUCAGAAGACUCCACUGAAUUCUGUGACAUUGAAAGAAAACAUAUUGAUAACAUCAUAAUUAUUAGCUGAGUCAGAUUCUAAGGAAUGUUAAGAUUACAGAGUCAAAUUACAUGAUAUAACAAAAGCCAGAGGCUAGAAGUCAGAAAUAAAGCCUGGGAAGUUAAUUUUGACAGUUCUGUAAUGGUUUUUUUCUGUAAUGGUUUUUUUCUGUAAUGGUUUUUGUUCCUUUUUUUCAGUUUUAUUUCAUUUGCUAUAUUCCAAUUUUUCUUUCAAAUCAAGUAUACAAUUUUGUUGUUAAUUUUUUUCUCCUGUCUUUUAUGCCUUAAUCUUAUUUAUAUAGUGGAUACAUUAGGGAAACAGGGCUUUAAAAUGGUACCAUUAGCAAUAAUAUGUCCUGUGACAAUAUCUAUACCUCAAGUCAGGGUCAAAUACUCAAAACUAUAAGGACAAUAAACCAAUGAUUACUUCAAAUAGCAUGUGGUUUAGACUCAAUGAAUUCACUCCUUUAGCUUUAGUCUCUCUGUGUCAUCUCAACCCUCACUGUUACCAAGUCACUCCACGGUAAAGAAGAUUAUUUCUUCAUGAGAUAAUUACAGAUUAACAGAAAGUUGUAAAAGAAAUCACAAGAAGAUGACUGCUGAAGACACUGUCCGUGUGUUGGGCAGUUUUAUUUGGUGGAAUAUAUCUAUCUACAGAUGAGGAAAGACUCUAGACUUUAUUUGUCUAGACUGAAAUUUCAGACCUAUACUGGUACCAGAAGACUCAAUCCUGACUGGGACAGUUUAGUUUACUGAACCAACUCCGCCUGUUUUGUGAAUUAACAUUGUGCACAUCUGUAGUCCAGUAUCAAAGCGGAUUACUACUGCUGUUCAUUAGAGAGCUUGUUCAGACUCUGACAGAAUUAACUUGUUUCUAUGUGCAUAUUAUAUAUGCAUGCAAUUAUCAAUAUGUAUAGCUUCUCAGAACAAACGUCAACAUCAGUAUUUUACUAUAGCAUUCACCCGAGGCUCCUUUGCCUUGCCCUUCUUUGCUGCAUUUUAGAAUCCUGAGGAGUCACCUACUUCUCUGUAUAGGGCAUCAGUAUAGAGAGAGAUUCGUUCCAGUUCAAUGAGGACAACUGACAGCUUUUCUUGGAUCACUGUGUCCUCUUCUUGACCAGAUUCAGCCAUAGGGUACUGCAUUCUCAGCUAGAAGAUAGAUGUCCACCAUGUUUAAAGAUGAGAAAUUUGAACC
rnacentral:lncRNA from 1 species